rnacentral:rRNA from 1 species
AUACAAUUUAUGUUAUUUAAUAUUUUUGGUAUUGAAGUUAAGAUUUUAUAUGAAGUUAUUUUAUUAAUUUUUAGGUGAAAUUUAAAUUAUAUUUAAUUUUAUUUUUGUUUCUUUUAAAGUCAGAGUUUAAACUAGGAUUAGAUACCCUAUUAUUUUGACCAUAAAUUAUUUCCUGGGUAGUAUUAGUUAUAUUCUUCAAACCUAAAGGAUUUGGCGGUGUUUUAUUCCUAUUAGAGGAACUUGUCCCUUAAUCGAUAAUCCUCGUUUUAUCUUACUUUUAUUUGUUAUCAGUAUGUAUACCUCCGUUAUAAGUUUAUUUUUUAAGAAUUAUUUACUAUUUAACUAAUUAAUUUUUAUUU